rnacentral:rRNA from 1 species
CGUUUUAAUCGAUGGGGGGACGCAGUAGGAUAGGCGAAGCGUGCGAUUGGAUUGCACGUCUAAGCAGUAAGGCUGAGUAUUAGGCAAAUCCGGUACUCGUUAAGGCUGAGCUGUGAUGGGGAGAAGACAUUGUGUCUUCGAGUCGUUGAUUUCACACUGCCGAGAAAAGCCUCUAGAUAGAAAAUAGGUGCCCGUACCGCAAACCGACACAGGUAGUCAAGAUGAGAAUUCUAAGGUGAGCGAGCGAACUCUCGUUAAGGAACUCGGCAAAAUGACCCCGUAACUUCGGGAGAAGGGGUGCUCUUUAGGGUUAACGCCCAGAAGAGCCGCAGUGAAUAGGCCCAAGCGACUGUUUAUCAAAAACACAGGUCUCUGCUAAACCGUAAGGUGAUGUAUAGGGGCUGACGCCUGCCCGGUGCUGGAAGGUUAAGAGGAGUGGUUAGCUUCUGCGAAGCUACGAAUCGAAGCCCCAGUAAACGGCGGCCGUAACUAUAACGGUCCUAAGGUAGCGAAAUUCCUUGUCGGGUAAGUUCCGACCCGCACGAAAGGCGUAACGAUUUGGGCACUGUCUCAACGAGAGACUCGGUGAAAUCAUAGUACCUGUGAAGAUGCAGGUUACCCGCGACAGGACGGAAAGACCCCGUGGAGCUUUACUGUAGCCUGAUAUUGAAAUUCGGCACAGCUUGUACAGGAUAGGUAGGAGCCUUUGAAACGUGAGCGCUAGCUUACGUGGAGGCGCUGGUGGGAUACUACCCUAGCUGUGUUGGCUUUCUAACCCGCACCACUUAUCGUGGUGGGAGACAGUGUCAGGCGGGCAGUUUGACUGGGGCGGUCGCCUCCUAAAAGGUAACGGAGGCGCUCAAAGGUUCCCUCAGAAUGGUUGGAAAUCAUUCAUAGAGUGUAAAGGCAUAAGGGAGCUUGACUGCGAGACCUACAAGUCGAGCAGGGUCGAAAGACGGACUUAGUGAUCCGGUGGUUCCGCAUGGAAGGGCCAUCGCUCAACGGAUAAAAGCUACCCCGGGGAUAACAGGCUUAUCUCCCCCAAGAGUUCACAUCGACGGGGAGGUUUGGCACCUCGAUGUCGGCUCAUCGCAUCCUGGGGCUGUAGUCGGUCCCAAGGGUUGGGCUGUUCGCCCAUUAAAGCGGUACGCGAGCUGGGUUCAGAACGUCGUGAGACAGUUCGGUCCCUAUCCGUCGUGGGCGUAGGAAAUUUGAGAGGAGCUGUCCUUAGUACGAGAGGACCGGGAUGGACAUACCUCUGGUGUACCAGUUGUCGUGCCAACGGCAUAGCUGGGUAGCUAUGUGUGGACGGGAUAAGUGCUGAAAGCAUCUAAGCAUGAAGCCCCCCUCAAGAUGAGAUUUCCCAACUUCGGUUAUAAGAUCCCUCAAAGAUGAUGAGGUUAAUAGGUUCGAGGUGGAAGCAUGGUGACAUGUGGAGCUGACGAAUACUAAUCGAUCGAAGACUUAAUCAA